rnacentral:rRNA from 1 species
GACGAACGCUGGCGGCGUGCUUAACACAUGCAAGUCGAACGGAAAGGCCCUGCUUUUGUGGGGUGCUCGAGUGGCGAACGUGUGAGUAACCCGUGAGUAACCUUCCCUUUACUUUGGGAUAACUUCAGGAAACUGGGGCUAAUACCUGAUAGGAGCUCCUGCUGCAUGGUGGUGGUUGGAAAGUUUCGGCGGUUGGGGAUGGACUCGCGGCUUAUCAGCUUGUUGGUGGGGUAGUGGCUUACCAAGGCUUUGACGGGUAGCCGGCCUGAGAGGGGGACCGGCCACAUGGGGACUGAGAUACGGCCCAGACGCCUACGGGAGGCAGCAGUGGGGAAUAUUGCACAAUGGGCGGAAGCCUGAUGAAGCAACGCCGCGUGCGGGAUGACGGCCUUCGGGUUGUAAACCGCUUUAGCCUGUGACGAAGCGUGAGUGACGGUAAUGGGUAAAGAAGCACCGGCUAACUACGUG